rnacentral:tRNA from 1 species
GGAGAGGUGGGUGAGUGGCUGAAACCAGCAGUUUGCUAAACUGCCGUAGGGGUAACUCUACCGCAAGUUCGAAUCUUGUCCUCUCCGCCA